rnacentral:rRNA from 1 species
ACUCCUACGGGGCAGGCAGUCGGGAGGAUAUUGCACAAUGGGCGCAAGCCUGAUGCAGCCAUGCCGCGUGUAUGAAGAAGGCCUUCGGGUUGUAAAGUACUUUCAGCAGUGAGGAAGGUGGAGUCGUUAAUAGCGGCCUCAUUUGACGUUAGCUGCAGAAGAAGCACCGGCUAACUCCGUGCCAGCAGCCGCGGUAAUACGGAGGGUGCGAGCGUUAAUCGGAAUUACUGGGCGUAAAGCGCAUGCAGGCGGCCUGUUAAGUCAGAUGUGAAAGCCCGGGGCUUAACCUCGGAAUUGCAUUUGAAACUGGCAGGCUAGAGUC